rnacentral:rRNA from 1 species
CCCUUAGAUGUUCUGGGCCGCACGCGCGCUACACUGAUGAAUUCAACGAGCACUAACCUGUGCCGAAAGGUUCGGGUAAUCUUGUGAAAUUUCAUCGUGAUGGGGAUUGAUUAUUGCAAUUUUUAAUCAUAAACGAGGAAUGCCUAGUAAGCGUGAGUCAUCAGCUCACGUUGAUUACGUCCCUGCUCUUUGUACACACCGCCCGUCGCUCCUACCGAUUGAAUGUGCCAGUGAAAAGUUAGGAUUGGGCGUGGGAGACGGCAACGUAUUCCACAUCCGAGAAAAUCUUUAAACUUUCCCAUUUAGAGGAAGGAGAAGUCGUAACG